rnacentral:rRNA from 1 species
UGUGUAGGCGGUUCUUUAAGUUUGGUGUGAAAUCUCCCGGCUUAACCGGGAGGGUGCGCCGAAUACUGAGGGACUAGAGUACGGGAGAGGAAAGUGGAAUUCCUGGUGUAGCGGUGAAAUGCGUAGAUAUCAGGAGGAACACCGGUGGUGUAGACGGCUUUCUGGACCGUAACUGACGCUGAAACACGAAAGCGUGGGUAGCAAACA